rnacentral:sRNA from 1 species
GGGAGAGAUAAUGCAUGUGAGAAAACUUCAUAUAUGUUUCUACGAAAGGAACUUCCUGUGCGGCUGGCUAACACAAUGAGAGAAGUUAAUCUUCUGCCGGAUAAUUUACUUAACCGCCCUUCAGUGGGAUUGGUUCAGAGUUGGUAUAUGCAGAGUUUUCUUGAACUUUUAGAAUAUGAAAAUAAGAGCCCUGAGGAUCCACAGGUCUUGGAUAAGUAAGUAUGGUACCACUUACCUGAAAGUAAAAAUAUCUAGGUAAGAAAGAUUUUGGUAAAUGUAAUUCAAGUCAUUAAGACUCAAGGAGUACGAUGUGGACAAAAGCGUUCAUUUUCUUAAUGAGUAAUGACUCAACAUUGAGUUUUUUUUUUAAUUCGAGUUAAGAAUGUAACACAA